GUGGCUGAACAGCCCUUUGUCAGAUUCGUCAUGCUUGUCCUUUCCGCCUCCCAUUGUUUCAGAAAACCAAGGUCUGAUUCACUGCCAGGAGAAACGAUAUCUCUUAAGAUGAAGUAGAAACUACAAACACAAGAAAUACCACCUAAGCAGAACAUCAGCGAAUUAUUGGCAGUUUGAUAAUCAAAAUCCCCAGAU